GACGGGGCCCGCACAAGCGGUGGAGUAUGUGGUUUAAUUCGAUGCAGCGCGAAGAACCUUACCUGGUCUUGACAUCCCGGAGACCCUUAGGAAACUAGGGGGUGCUUCCAUCUGGAAGAAUCUGGAGACAGGUGCUGCAUGGCUGUCGUCAGCUCGUGUCGUGAGAUGUUGGGUUAAGUCCCGCAACGAGCGCAACCCUUGCCUUUAGUUGCCAGCAGUUCGGCUGGGCACUCUAAAGGGACUGCCGGUGUUAAACCGGAGGAAGGUGGGGAUGACGUCAAGUCCUCAUGGCCUUUAUGACCAGGGCUACACACGUACUACAAUGGCCGAUACAAAGGGCAGCGACACUGCGAGGUGAAGCCAAUCCCGUAAAAUCGGUCUCAGUCCGGAUUGGAGUCUGCAACUCGACUCCAUGAAGUUGGAAUCGCUAGUAAUCGUGGAUCAGCAUGCCACGGUGAAUACGUUCCCGGGCCUU
rnacentral:rRNA from 1 species